rnacentral:rRNA from 1 species
CAGUAGCCGCGGUAAAACGGAGGGGGCUAGCGUUGUUCGGAAUUACUGGGCGUACAGCGCACGUAGGCGGCUUGGUAAGUUAGAGGUGAAAGCCCAGGGCUCAGCCCUGGAAUUGCCUUUAAGACUGCCGAGCUAGUAGGUGAGAGAGGUGAGUGGAAUUCCGAGUGUAGAGGUGAAAUUCGUAGAUAUUCGGAAGAACACCAGUGGCGAAGGCGGCUUACUGGCUCGAAACUGACGCUGAGGCGCGAAAGCGUGGGGAGCGAACAGGAUUAGAUACCCCUGUAGUCCCUGUCUCUUAUAC